rnacentral:rRNA from 1 species
UUGGUGGUUAUAGCAUGAGUGAAACACACGAUCCC